ACCCUUAGAUGUUCUGGGCCGCACGCGCGCUACACUGACUGACUCAACGAGUGUACAACCUGCUUCGACAGAAGUGGGUAAUCUUUUGAAAUUCAGUCGUGAUGGGGCUAGAUUAUUGCAACUAUUAAUCUUCAACGAGGAAUGCCUAGUAAGCGCGAAUCAUCAGUUCGCGUUGAUUACGUCCCUGCCCUUUGUACACACCGCCCGUCGCUCCUACCGAUUGAAUGGUCCGGUGAAAAUUUCGGAUACCGGCAUUGCUGGCGGUUCGCCGCCGGCGACGCUGGUAGAAGAUCUUUAAACCUUAUCAUUUAGAGGAAGGAGAAGUCGUANCA
rnacentral:rRNA from 1 species